GAAUUCGCCCUUAGAGUUUGAUCCUGGCUCAGGACGAACGCUGGCGGCACGCUUAACACAUGCAAGUCGAACGAGAGAAGAGAAGCUUGCUUUUCUGAUCUAGUGGCGGACGGGUGAGUAACACGUGAGCAAUCUGCCUUUCAGAGGGGGAUACCGAUUGGAAACGAUCGUUAAUACCGCAUAACAUAAUUGAACCGCAUGAUUUGAUUAUCAAAGAUUUAUCGCUGAAAGAUGAGCUCGCGUCUGAUUAGCUAGUUGGUAAGGUAACGGCUUACCAAGGCGACGAUCAGUAGCCGGACUGAGAGGUUGAUCGGCCACAUUGGGACUGAGACACGGCCCAGACUCCUACGGGAGGCAGCAGUGGGGAAUAUUGCACAAUGGAGGAAACUCUGAUGCAGCGAUGCCGCGUGAGGGAAGAAGGUUUUAGGAUUGUAAACCUCUGUCUUUGGGGACGAAAAAUGACGGUACCCAAGGAGGAAGCUCCGGCUAACUACGUGCCAGCAGCCGCGGUAAUACGUAGGGAGCGAGCGUUGUCCGGAAUUACUGGGUGUAAAGGGAGCGUAGGCGGGAUCGCAAGUCAGAUGUGAAAACUAUGGGCUUAACCCAUAAACUGCAUUUGAAACUGUGGUUCUUGAGUGAAGUAGAGGUAAGCGGAAUUCCUAGUGUAGCGGUGAAAUGCGUAGAUAUUAGGAGGAACAUCAGUGGCGAAGGCGGCCUACUGGGCUUUAACUGACGCUGAGGCUCGAAAGCGUGGGGAGCAAACAGGAUUAGAUACCCUGGUAGUCCACGCCGUAAACGAUGAUUACUAGGUGUGGGGGGACUGACCCCUUCCGUGCCGCAGCAAACGCAAUAAGUAAUCCACCUGGGGAGUACGACCGCAAGGUUGAAACUCAAAGGAAUUGACGGGGGCCCGCACAAGCAGUGGAGUAUGUGGAUUAAUUCGAAGCAACGCGAAGAACCUUACCAGGUCUUGACAUCGUAUGCAUAGCUCAGAGAUGAGUGAAAUCUCUUCGGAGACAUAUAGACAGGUGGUGCAUGGUUGUCGUCAGCUCGUGUCGUGAGAUGUUGGGUUAAGUCCCGCAACGAGCGCAACCCUUACUGUUAGUUGCUACGCAAGAGCACUCUAGCAGGACUGCCGUUGACAAAACGGAGGAAGGUGGGGAUGACGUCAAAUCAUCAUGCCCCUUAUGACCUGGGCCUCACACGUACUACAAUGGCUGUCAACAGAGGGAUGCAAAGCCGCGAGGUGGAGCGAACCCCUAAAAGCAGUCUUAGUUCGGAUUGUAGGCUGCAACCCGCCUACAUGAAGUCGGAAUUGCUAGUAAUCGCAGAUCAGCAUGCUGCGGUGAAUACGUUCCCGGGCCUUGCACUCACCGCCCGUCA
rnacentral:rRNA from 1 species